rnacentral:lncRNA from 1 species
CUCUAGCUCACUUUCUUUCAGCAGUAUACACCAAAAUAGACCAUAUCUUAGGCUAUAAAGUGUGCUUACAUAAACACAAAGGAAUUGAAAUAGUUCCCUGCCUACUAUUGGAUCAUAGAAGAUUGAAGUAGAUUUCAACACCAAAAGAAGACACAGAACCUACACAAACACAUGAAGACUAGAUAAUAUUUUAUUACAUAAACAGUGGAUCACGGAAGAAAUCAGGGAAGCAAUAAAAAAUUCCUGGAAUCAAAUAACAAUGGAAGUGCAACAUACAAAAUCCUACCGAGGAGCACAAUGUAAGCAGUUGGAAGAGGAGGAAAGUUUAUAGCUGUGAAUAAACACAUGAAAAGAAUGAGCAAUCCCGACUGACUCAUCCAGUGAUGUUUCUCAUGGUCCUAGAAAAUCAGGAACAAUCCAAAUCUGAAACUAAUGGAAGAAAAGAAAAUAAGAAGAUCAGAACAGAAAGUAAUGAAACUGAGAUUUUAGAAACAGUAGAAAGGAUCAAAAAAUCAGAGUUGGUUCUUUGAAAGAAUGAGAAGGGCCUAGGAGUUGAGGAGACCAGAGAGGGGAAGGAGGGGAAGUGGAAAGGACCGAGGUGGAACACUCCACCAUGUCAGUUUCCCCGGGGUGAACGUAUUUACUACGAAUUGCAAGCAUGCACUGAUUUAAAAGGGAUAAAUGAGAAACACAGGAGCAGGGUUUGGUGAAGCCCACAUUCCCGCUCGUUCUGCCCUCCCACCUGGCAGUUGCCUCCAUCUCCACAGAGCACGCCUCCCUCCUCCGCAGCCGUGCGUGGGUACCACAUCCAAGCCUGGACAUUCAGCUUCUCCAGCUGCUCAGGAGAGCUCUGCGCCGUCCAGUGGUGCGUGUGCGAAUUGGUCACAAUUUCCACGCCUGCGCAGAACUGGCGGGGCGGGGCACAGCACAGUAAAACCUCUAUUUGGGAAGCAAAGCCUGGAAGACCCCGGGGUCAUAGGUUUGUCUCCGUCACGGACCGUCGUGGGUGGCGCACGGAGAAGCCCUGUGGGCCUGAGGUGGGCGAGCCCGUCCUCAGAACCCGACCUUUUCCUGCAGGAGGCACGGCUGCCCCCCCCCCCCGAGCCUCUUCCGGGAGAUGCGGUGAAGCCGCAGGGAGCGAGGCCUGUCCCCGGAAAGCCACUGUUGUGGCGCCCAGAGUGGGUGGAGGUUUCUCCCGCUUCUGCCGCCCAGCCCAGGAUCAGCAGGGGGUGCCCAUCUCAUGGACCUCACAGUCGAUGGAAAACUCAGAUAAGCUGAUCCAAAGGCAUUUGUCAAGAAACAAAAGUCAGAGAACUGAAGACCAUGACAGGCGGCUGCCAGGCAGUGAUUGUGAGGUGACAAAGCUCAGUGCUAGCAGGAAAGUGGAGCUGGACCUUCAGAUGUCAGGUCAGAGUGGAAGGACACUCUGCUUCUGUAUGGCAUCCAGAGCUGGGUGAGGGGAUCCUUCAGUUUCCCACUUGUGAGUCACAGCACCUCGUUCUGCGGCUGGUGCCUGGCUCACUGUGGCCUCCUGCCACGGACAUGGCUGGGGCCGCUCCUGCCAGGCCAUUGCUCCUGCGGUAAUAAAUCAAAGGCACCUUCAGGUGUCCAGUAGCCCCUACAGAGCCUGGCUCAUCCCUCGGACUCAGCCAGGUCAUUGUUAAAUGUGAAUCCUAAGGCAGCCUCACUGCCCACCCAGUCGGGCUGCCACUGGGUGCAGCGCAAGUCCACGUGGAGACUUACUGGUGGAGUGGUCUGCUACUUACAGACACUGAGAGUGUCCUGGAAGAGAUUUUUAUGGAAGUGAGCUAUUUUUUAGGUUAAGAAGUGUGGAAUUGGGUUUCUGUGUUCUUUUCAGGAUGCCAACUGUAAGGGGGUUUCUGUCUCUGCCUCGGUGUUAGUAAAUGGAGGGGAAGACACACUGCAUGAGCUCCAGUUAGAUGACCUCCUGUGUCCAGUCUGCUGUGGCCUCCCCGGGGUGACAGCGCUGAUCUCCUCUGCUGGAAACAUUUCCACUCCCCUUUGGAAAUCAAGGGACUGCUUCUGGGGGUCCAACCUAGGGCCUGGACCCAGGGACCCCUGCCCUGCAGCUUCCAGCUUCCGGAGCCACUAGGAACAUCUUUCCGGUGGAAUACCCACUUCCAUUGUCUUUUCUAUGUCUACACCGUCCUUAACAUUCAGCUCUUCUUUAAGUAAUAACAAAUCCGCUUGUGUAGAAGAUAAGAAAGAAAUGUGCUCCUUUCACAUUUUUCUCAAAAUCCAACAGAGACAGGAGAGGUGGGUGGGAAGAGAGAGGAAGCUAAAGGAGGGGCUGGGCGCAGACACGUGUGCAGUGCGGGCACUGGGUGUGGAAAGGAACAGCUGUGGGAUGGAAAUGAGACCACAGCCAAGGAAAGGAAAUGGGUAAUCACCGAGAGGCAGUGCUGGGGAGGUCAGGGUGCUCGGGGGAAAGGAACCGAGUGCAGACCCUCCAGGUUUGAGGGGAUGCAGCUGAGGCCAGGCCCCUGGUGAUCUCCAUCUGCUACCAAUGAGAGGAGAGCUCCAAGGCGGAUGCACGGCUGGGCCGGGCUGGCCUGUGAUUGCCCUGUGGGGCUCACUCACGGCAGAGCCGAUCUCCCAUAGGUGGAGAAGUCAGUACAAGCAGAAAAGGAGACCGGCAUCAUUCUGAUGAGAGUCAGGGUGGAAAGAGUUGCUCUUCCUCCUUUCCUCUGCGAUGUAGAGAAUUUUGAAUCAGUGUUAAGUGAAACGAACCAGCUACACAAGCACAAAUGGAACCUUGUUCUUUUAAUGUGAGAAACCCAAACUAUGAAUAAAACAAAGAACAAAAUAAAACAUAGCUAAUACGAGGUACAGCGAUAAUCCUCUACAAAUGAGAAGGGGAACUACAGACAGAGGGAAGGGGAGCGAAGAGAGGGCAACGGGAAGUAAAAGAAGGUUAAGAGGAGCCCUGUGCAUGUCCGACUGCCCACGAGGGUGUGGCCUUCACAAGGCAAACCUGCAGUGAUGAACAACCCUCCAGGACAUAGCAACGCUCUCUGCAGAAGUGGAUUCCCCAAGUGCUCCUGGGAAAGGAAACGGAUCUUUAGAAACAGUCAGGGGACACACAGCUGAGGCUGUGUCUUGCAGGAGAGGGCCCAGGACAGGCCCUGAGGCUGCUCCCUGUUGCCCGGGCCUGGUGUGUACGGUGUGCUGUCAUGCGUUCUCCAAACACCUGGACUAGACGG